rnacentral:lncRNA from 1 species
UGGUGAUGCUAGUGUAGGAGGAGGAGGAGGUGGUGGUGGUGGAGGUGGUGGAGAUGCAAGUGGUGGGUUUGGUCAUGGUAAAGGUUAUGGUUUCGGAGCUGGUGUUGGUGAAAAUGGUGGUGUUGGUGGUGGAGGAGGAGGAGGUGGUGGAGGCGGAGGUGGUGGAAGUCAUGGAGAUGAAGGAGGUGGACAUGGAGAAGGGCAUGGGGCUGGAGCAGGUGGUGGCGAUGCUAGUGUAGGAGGAGGAGGUGGUGGUGGAGGUGGUGGAGAUGCAAAUGGUGGGUUUGGUCGUGGUAAAGGUUAUGGAUUUGGGGCUGGUGUUGGUAAAAAUGGUGGUGCCGGUGGAGGAGGAGGAGAGGGUGGCGGUGAAGGACAAGGGGCCAGUGGAGGAUUUGGUCAUGGAAGUAGAUACGGUGCUGGAGAGGGUAUUGGAGGUGGAGGUAAUGCAAGUGGUGAUGUUGGUGGUG